AGGAGCCACACCACCGGGAUAGAGGACGCUGAUAGCCCUGUUCACUGCAUCUACCACUGCCAUAUUGUCCGAAAAGAAUACCACCUUCUUAUCCCUCAACUGUGGACCCCAUAGUGACAACGGGAACAAUUCCAGGAACGCCAAGUUGCAGUGGGCUGGCAUUCCAGGCCCCUGGCCAAGUACCCGCGCACCAUUGACCCGAAAAGUAAGCCCCAAACCCGACACUCCCCGACGCGUCCGUGAAC